UACGUAGGGGGCAAGCGUUGUCCGGAUUUAUUGGGCGUAAAGAGCGUGUAGGCGGCUUUACAGGUCCGUUGUGAAAACUCGAGGCUCAACCUCGAGACGCCGGUGGAAACCGUAAAGCUAGAGUCCGGAAGAGGAGAGUGGAAUUCCUGGUGUAGCGGUGAAAUGCGCAGAUAUCAGGAAGAACACCCGUGGCGAAGGCGGCGCUCUGGGACGGUACUGACGCUGAGACGCGAAAGCGUGGGGAGCGAACAGG
rnacentral:rRNA from 1 species